ensembl:lncRNA
CAGGGUUAAUUCCACGUGGUUACAGGGUUAAAUCUGGAUGGUUACAGGGUUAAUUCUGCAUGGUUACAGGGUUUAUUCCGCGUGGUUACAGGGUUAAUUCCACGUGGUUAAAGGGUUAAUUCUGCGUGGUUACAGGGUUAAUUCCACGUGGUUACAGGGUUAAUUCCACGUGGUUACAGGGUUAAUUCCACGUAGUUACAGGGUUAAUUCCACGUGGUUACAGGGUUUAUUCCACGUGGUUACAGGGUUAAUUCCACGUGGUUACAGGGUUAAUUCCACCUGGUUCCACCACUGGGGUGCCAGGUAGGAGAAGAGCUUGGACUGGAUCUAGCUGGAGGGGUGGGAGGGCCAAGAUAUCUGAGGAGGCAGAACAGAGAUGAUCAGGCUGGGUUUGUAGGGUUUGAGCAUAAUCUGAAAGUAAGGAGGGGCAGUUCCUCUUGCUGUUCCGUAGGUAAUUACCAUGGUCUUGUAGUUGGUGCGAGUUUCAACUGGAAGCCAGUGGAAUGUACAGAGGAACAGGGUGACAUGGGAGAACAUCGGAAGGUUGAAAACUAGCGUUCUGGAUAAGGGUUUUGCAGGGGUUUGAUGGAACAAGCGGGGAGCCCAGCCAACAGCGAGUUGCAGUAGUACAGAUGAGAGAUGACAAGUGCCUGGAUUAGGACGUGUGCCCCGUCCUGCGUGAGAUCGGGUCGUACUCUAUGGAUGUUGUAGACCAUGAACCUGCAGGAGCAGGUUUCACUGCUUUGAUGCUUGUCGAGAAUGACAGGGUGUUGUCCAGGGUCACGCCAAGGUUCUUUGCAGUCUGGGAGACACUGUGGAGUUGUCAACCGUGAUGGAGAUGUCUUUGAGCGGGCAGGAAGAGCAGUUCCAUCUUGCUGAGCUUGAGGUGGUGGACCGACAUCCAAUUUUUAUUUUUUUUAUUUUUAUUUCACCUUUAUUUAACCAGGUAGGCUAGUUGAGAACAAGUUCUCAUUUACAACUGCGACCUGGCCAAGAUAAAGCAUAGCAGUGUGAGCAGACAACACAGAGUUACACAUGGAAUAAACAAUUAACAAGUCAAUAACACAGUAGAAAAC